UGGAAACGGAGGCUGAAACAUGAAGAAGGCGAUUUCUCCCGAUUUCUCCCACUUUCUCCCCACUCCCACUUACUGAACCUCACCUCCGCACGUGCAAUAGGACCAUCCACAGUAAAAUGGCGGUUGACAUCAAGGGACUACAAUUCCCAUGAAAGCAUUAGAUUGAGGGCGGAAAUGACCUUAAUCCACCAAAGGCCAUGUUGGAAAAGGGCAGCUGCUCCAGUAUCGGAGUAAUGGAAAAAUCUGAAAAAAGACAGUGAAGUGAAAAAAAGCUGGCGGUGUGAAGAUUGGUGAGUGUUUUUGUCGCCAUUCCUCAGGGAAUAUAUUCUCCGACGAUUUUCCGUAGGUACGCCAGGUAAUCGCGGUCCCACGAAGCAAAAAUAAAAAAAAGACGGCCGCCAUUGUUCUUUUCUGGGAAACUCCGCCCCCGUCCGGGGGUGAACACGUGAGGGAUUUAGAACGGAAGUGACGACACGAUCGCAUUGUUAAAUAAGACGCGCGAGAGGCGUUCUCUCUCUUCUUCUUAGCGCCAUCUUGUCGACUCCCAUUGCGCCAUGAGAGCCAAGUGGAGGAAGAAGCGAAUGCGUAGGCUGAAACGCAAGAGGAGAAAGAUGAGGCAGAGGUCCAAGUAAACAGAUUGUGCUGACCACAGGCCACAAAAGCAGGGAUGAAAUGACCCUUGGUGACACUGUCGGGAAGGCGGAGAGCUCCGGGCAACACGACCCACCCCUCGGAAGAACUGCUGGCGAUACCAUCUGAUAAAGGGUUCUCACCACCGUUUGACGCCUGCCUGACGAGCGCAUGCCAUCUUCCAAUGCCUGUUCCAUCUUUUGCACAGAUUCCAUCUGCCUGCCUCCCGAUUUCUGUGCCAUGGGACUCUUGUCAUUCUGGACUGAUUUGUCUGUGGCUCAGUGUUAGCACAUCUGUAUAAUAAAUCCUCGCUACUUUCUUGUUCGGAAAAAAAAUGAGCUUGUGUGUUAUUUCAAAGCCUGGUUUCCUAUUGGUGACGCGAUAUAAAGGAAACGCAGA
rnacentral:lncRNA from 1 species